AGCAGCCGCGGUAAUUCCAGCUCCAAUAGCGUAUAUUAAAGUUGUUGCAGUUAAAAAGCUCGUAGUUGAAUUUCGAGAUCAGUACGCUGGUCGUGCCUUCGGUAUGCACUGGUGUUACUGGUUUCUCCCUUCUGAAGAACCGUCAUGCCAUUCAGUUGGUGUGGCGGGGAAUCAGGACUGUUACUUUGAAAAAAUUAGAGUGUUUAAAGCAGGCUCGCGCUUGAAUACAUUAGCAUGGAAUAAUGAAAUAGGACGUUUGACCCUAUUUUGUUGGUUUCUAGGAUCGACGUAAUGAUUAAUAGGGAUAGUUGGGGGCAUUAGUAUUCAAUUGUCAGAGGUGAAAUUCUUGGAUUUAUUGAAGACUAACUACUGCGAAAGCAUUUGCCAAGGAUGUUUUCAUUAAUCAAGAACGAAAGUUAGGGGAUCGAAGACGAUCAGAUACCGUCGUAGUCUUAACCAUAAACUAUGCCGACUAGGGAUCGGAUGAUGUUAAUUUUUUAAUGACUCAUUCGGCGCCUUACG
rnacentral:rRNA from 1 species